AAAAAAAACAAAACAAAAAAAAAUGUGUGGAGAUCAUAUUUUUUUUUUUUUUUUUUUUUUUUUUUUUAUUUUUAUUUUUUUUUUUUAUUUUUUUUUUUACCAGUAGUUCAAUAGUUAUUUUAUGAAAA
rnacentral:ribozyme from 13 species